GGAGGCCUCUCUGCCUGUCUCUGGAAACCUCAGCCAAGCUCCCAGAGCGCAAGUGCGUCUGCUGGUACCUCCCCACCUCCCCACCUCGCUGUGGAUUUGUCAUGGAAUGAGAAUGACUCUGGCAGAAGUGCAGAGGCAAGAACUCCGUGCGGCUUACACACAGGAAGCCAUGGGGAGCUCGGACAUCAGUGGGAGUCAGGCGAAUUCCCAAGAGUCCUGGCCCGGCAGGAAAACGACAGAUGUUUGGAGCACAGUUUUCGGUGGUUUUGCUCUCUCCCGAGGAGGAGAGCCACAGCUACGUGCCCCUGUAACCAAGCUGGGCUGAACCACGUCCACAAGUCCUGUGGGCAUAGAGACUGGGAACACUUGGACCUCCUUCAGGACAGGCCCGAAGGCGCUAGAGGGCCGCAAGAGGAAAGACAACUGCCUCAAAGCACAGAUGAGCUCAUCGACUCACCUGGGCAGGUAAGUGCAGAACCUGGACAGUGCUUUAGUGGGAGUGCAUCGUGUUUGGAGGAAAUGAUGUCACGGUGUGCUGGGCGGGGUAGGGGGGACAGGAACACCUUUAAAGGGCUCAUCUUUCCCACAGCCUGUUCAGCAUUCGCUCUGCCCCUGGCACGUCCAGAAGCCCCUGCACAAUGUGGGUACGAUGUGUUGAUGUCAACAGUUUUGCUGGAACCCACAGAUCCAUAAAGCUGCUAACAAGAACACGGAACAAGGUGUUAACGUGGGCGGUGGGUGGAGGUUUAGGACAGUAAGUGUCCUGAGAGAGGGGCGAGAACAGGAAGUCUCAGAGAGCCUCCCUGAGGAGCAGCCUUUGAGAGGGGCUUAGAUCACUCAUAGCCCCAAGUCGCACUUGGCCCAGUUCAAUUAUUAAAGCAUAACAUAGGGGCGCCUGGGUGGCUCAGUCAACUAAGCGGUUGCCUUCGGCUCGGGUCACAAUCCUGAGGUCCUGGGAUCGAGCCCCACAUUGGGCCCCCGGCUCAGCGGAGAGUCUGCUUCUCCCUCUGCCUCUACCUCUCUCUCCACUCAUGCUCUCUAUCUCUCUCCCUCUCAAAUAAAUAUAUAAAAUCUUUUUUAAAAAGAGAGAGAGGGACACCUGGGUCACUCAGUGGUUGAGUGUCUGCCUUCGACUCAGGGCAUGAUCCUGGGGUCCGGGAUCGGGUCCCACAUCGGGCUCCCCAUAGGGAGCCUGCUUCUCCCUCCUCCCGUGUCUCUGCCUCUCUCUCUCUCUCUCUCUCUAUGUCUAUCACAAAUAAAUAAAUACAUCUUUUUAAAAAAUUCAUAUAGAUAUGUCUCCCUCUCCCUCUGCCUGCUGCUCCACUUACUCUCUCUCUCUCUUUUUUUUUUUUAAAGAUUUUAUUUAUUUAUUCAUGAGAGACACAGAGAGAGAGAGAGAGAGAGAGGCAGAGACACGGGAGGAGGGAGAAGCAGGCUCCAUGCCGGGAGCCCGAUGCAGGACUCGAUCCCGGGACUCCAGGAUCGCGCCUUGGGCCAAAGGCAGGUGCCAAACCGCUGAGGCACCCAGGGAUCACUAUAUGAAUUUUCACAAAGUCCACAUACUCAUAUAAAACACCGUGAUCAAAUUUCAGAAUAUUUCCAGACCACAGAAGCCCCGCACGUCCCUUCCGGGUCACCAGCCACCCUCCAAAGUGUUGCCACCAUGCUGACCUCUAACAGCACAGGUGAGUUGUGCAUCCUCUGUUUUAACCCCAUCAGCCUUAGGCUCAGUAGGUGUCAUGUGCUGGGGGCGCCUGGGAGGCUCAGAUGGUUAAGCCUCCGCCUCCAGCCCAGGUCGUCAUCUCCAGGUCCCCGGAUGGAGCACAUGUCGGGCUCCCAGCUCAGCGGGGAAUCUGCGCCUCCCUCCCCUCUGUCUCUCCCCCUGCUUGUGCUCUCUCUGUCUCUUUCUGAAACGAAUAAAUAAGAAAUCUUAAAAAAAAAAAAAAAAUCGGACUGGCUGCAACAUGCCUCCCCACCCCCACCCAGCGCUGACCCCAGAGCAGAAGGAGCUUUUUUUUUUUUUUUUUUAAGAUUAUUUAUUUAUUCAUGAGAGACAGAGAGACAGAGAGAGGCAGAGACCCAGGCAGUGGGAGAAGAAGCAGGCCCCAUGCAAAGAGCCGGACGCGGGACUCGAUCCCGGGACCCCAGGAUCAGGCCCCGGGCUGCAGGCGGCGCUAAACCGCGGCCCCCGGGCUGCCCGGGAGGAGCUCUCCGGCGUGGCUCCCGGCGCCGCCCCGGGCAAGGGCAUCCUGGCUGCAGAGAACACGGAGGAGGGAAGUCAUCAAAUCCAAGGUGUCGUAGGCAUCAAGGGGGACCAGGGUGGGGCGCCUCCCGGCAGGAUCAAACGGCCAGACUACCCCCCAAGGGCUGGAUGGGCUGAGCGCUGUGCCCAGUACAGGAAGGACGGGGCUGACUGUGCCAAGUGGGCUGCGUGCUGAAGAGUGGGGAACACACCCCCUCAGGCCUUGCCAUCAUGGAAAAUGCCAGCUGUCCGGGCCGUUCUGCCAGCAUCUGCCAGCAGAAUGGCAUCGUGCCCCUUGUGGAGCCUGAGAUCCUCCCCGAUGCGGACCAUGACUUGAAGCGGUCAGUAUGGAACCGAGAAGGUGCUGGCUGCUGUCUACAAGGCCCUGAGUGCCCACCACAUCUAGGAAGGCACCUUGCUGAAGCCCAAUGUGGUAACCCCAGGCCACGCCUGCACCCAUAAAUAUUCUCACGAGGAGAUUGCCAUGGCAACUGUCACAGCACUGCCCCCG
rnacentral:lncRNA from 1 species